UCUCUCCACUUCCACGCGAAAUUUCCAGCCGCGCGAGCCUCGCGAGGAAGCAGAGUCCGUGCAGAAGCGGAGUGCGCGAAAAAUCACGUUCACCCUCCCCGUUCGCAGCCGUGUCAGUCGUGUGAUCAUCCCUGGCACACGCGCAUACACGCGCGUGCGUGCCCGUGCCUACGAACGUGGGUCAAAUCGGCCGGUCUCGAUAUCCUCCGACCUUCGCGGGCGGCCACCCCGUUGACACGCGAGACUCGAGCGACGUCGAACUCCGCGCGCGGAGCGAACGUCACGAAUAUCGUCGGCACGCAAUCGGUUUCUGAUUCGAAGGCUCGUCGGUUCCCCGGAGUCCGAAGGACAGAGCGAGCGACUCGUGGAGAUCGCUGGGAAUCGCGCGAAAGAACGUGAGAUCGCGUCGUGGUGGACUCGCGAACGGUGGUGCAAGACGAUCUGAGAGGACAACUUCCGCGGCGAGACUUUGCGACUGUGUCACCGGGAUUGAUCGAUUAUCCGGUCGUUCGGGGUGAGACGUCGGAGUCGCCGAGUUAAAGGACUUGCUGGGGCGAAAGCAAGGAGCCAGUUUGUGGCGGAGAGUGUUCGAUUAGUCGGGCGACGGGGGUCGAUCGGGGACGAGGACGAUGGCAGUGAGCACUUUCACGACGGCAUUGCCUACCACCGAUUUUGCCACUACGUGUCCUACUACACCACCCGCGCCGUGGACCGAGGCGUCGCUGCCGCCCGAAGACGAGGAGGAGAACGUCCUGCACAUCGGCGGCAUCUUUCCGAUCGCCGGCGAGGGCGGCUGGCAGGGCGGCCAGGCUUGCAUGCCAGCCGCGCACCUGGCCUUAGAGGACGUUAAUCGUGAAAAGAACUUGUUACGCGGAUAUAGACUGCACCUCCAUUCCAACGAUAGUGAGUGCGAGCCCGGUCUCGGCGCCUCCGUGAUGUACAACUUGCUAUAUUUUCCACCUUAUAAAUUAAUGCUGUUAGCCGGAUGUAGCACGGUCUGCACCACGGUUGCCGAGGCGGCAAAAAUGUGGAAUCUGGUGGUGCUUUGUUACGGUGCCUCGUCGCCAGCGUUGUCCGACCGGAAUCGAUUCCCGACCCUCUUCAGGACGCAUCCAUCUGCCACUGUGCACAAUCCCACGAGAAUCAAACUGCUACAGAAGUUUGGCUGGUCUCGGGUAGCGAUAUUACAGCAAGCCGAAGAAGUGUUCAUAUCGACUGUCGAAGAUCUGGAAGCACGGUGUAAAGAAGCUGGGAUAGAGAUAGUCACUCGUCAAAGCUUCCUGUCGGAUCCAACGGACGCGGUGAAGAAUCUACGGCGUCAGGACGCGCGGAUAAUUGUCGGCCUGUUUUACGUGGUAGCCGCGAGGCGGGUACUCUGCGAGCUCUAUCACCAGAAGCUGUACGGCAAGACCUACGUGUGGUUCUUCAUAGGUUGGUACGAGGACGACUGGUUCGAAAUCAAUCUAGAGAAGGAAGGUAUCACGUGCACGAAGGAGCAGAUGCGUAUGGCGGCGGAAGGUCACCUAACGACUGAGGCGCUCAUGUGGAACCAGAACAAUGACACGACAAUCAGCGGCAUGACCGCGGAGGACUUCCGAAAGAGACUGAACAAGCUGCUGAAAGAUGACGGUUACGACAUAGAUAACGAUCGAUAUCCUGAAGGCUAUCAGGAAGCUCCGCUUGCCUAUGAUGCCGUUUGGUCUGUCGCGUUGGCGUUUAACAGAACCAUGGAGAGGCUGAGCAAGAUGGGGAACAGUUUAAAGAACUUUACUUACAACAACAAAGAGAUUGCCGACGAGAUAUACGCGGCGGUAAACUCGACCCAAUUUCUCGGAGUUUCCGGGCACGUCGCGUUCAGCUCGCAGGGUGACCGAAUCGCUCUCACGCAGAUCGAGCAGGUGAUCGAUGGAAAGUACGUUAAGUUAGGCUACUACGACACGCAAAGCGAUAAUCUGACGUGGCGCAACGUGGAGCGAUGGAUCGGCGGCAAAGUGCCGCAAGAUAGAACGAUAAUAAGAACCGUCUUGAGAACGGUGUCACUGCCCUUAUUCAUAAGUAUGGCGACCUUGUCGGCGCUCGGUAUCGUGAUAGCCAUCGGAUUGAUCGUAUUUAACGUCUAUAAUAGGCACCGCAGAGUUAUACACUCGUCUCAUCCCACCGCCAACACGAUAAUGCUGGUGGGCAUAAUAGGCUGCUUCUUGGCUGUGCUGUGCAUAGGGAUUGACGGUAGGUUUGUGACGCCGUGGCAGUUUCUCAUCAUCUGCCAAACUAGAGCGUGGGCAAUGUCGACCGGUUUCACCCUUGCGUUCGGUGCGAUGUUUAGCAAAGUAUGGAGGGUCCACCGGCUCUCGACGAAGGCGAAGGCCGAUCAAGGAAAGUCAUUGACGGCUAAACAAAAAGUUUCGUCUAUACAGAAGAAAAUUGAGCCGUGGAAGCUGUACGUUAUGCUGGCUGGAUUGCUGUUGAUCGACAUCAUCCUCCUCGUCACUUGGCAAGUGGUCGAUCCAUUGCGUAGGAGAAUCGAGACUUUCUCGUUGGAACUGCCUCCUUACGGAGACGAGGAUGCAAUGAUCAAGCCCGAAUUAGAACAUUGCGAGAGCGAGCACAACAGCCUAUGGCUCGGCUUGAUCUACAGCUAUAAGGGCAUUGUCCUAGCUUUCGGGCUCUUUCUCUCUUACGAGACGAGAAGCAUCAAAAUCAAACUGAUCAAUGAUUCCAGAUACGUAGGAAUGUCGAUAUAUAACAUCGUAGUUCUGUGUCUCAUAACGGUACCUGUCGUAAUGGUCAUCUCUAGCCAGCAGGACGCGAGUUACGCCUUCUCGGCGUUGGCUACUAUUUUUUGUUGCUUCCUCAGCAUGGCGCUUAUCUUCGUGCCGAAAGUGAUCGAAGUGAUCAGACACCCCAAGGAUAAAUCCGAAUCGAGAUACAAUCCGGAUGGCGCGGUGUCCAAGGAAGAGGAAGAAAAGUAUCAGAAGCUGCUCAAUGAAAAUGACGAGCUUCAAAAGCUUAUCGCUACGAAGGAGGAAAGGAUUCAAACCAUCAGACAGAAGAUAGCUGAGCGCGAUGCCCUGAAAGGGACCGGUACGAUGAGUCGUUGCAGACAGGGACAGCCUAAGCAACCUUUCAUCAUUGCUGAUUAUCCGACCGGCGAGGGAACAUCGGACAGCGCUAUCGGUGGGGGUAUUUCUGUUUGUACAAAAUCUUCCCGCGCUUCCGCUUCUGAUGUUGAGUUUUCAGAGACGUACUUAUAAUCUCUCCACACACACGAGUCAAACGGUCACGCCGCUAUGGACAUCCUCAUCAGCAAUCGCGCGAUACAUUUGGGACCUAAAAUUCUUUUCAAUUAAUCUCCGUGAUUAUCGUAAAAGCUUUGGUUUAAACAAAGAGAAAACCGAACGUGUUUCCGAUAUUAUUUCGUUGCACGCAGCACGUCGCCGAAAUGUACGAACUGCACCGACUAUGAUGCCAAAGCAAUACACACACAAACGAGCGCUAUGCCUGCGCGCGCGUGCGCGCGCGCGACAAAACUCUCUUCUAAAACUAGUAUUAAACCUACGUGCACGGUCAAUAUGCGAAUAUAAUUAGUACGACAUCUUGAGACACGCCAAAGUGAGAGUGAUCGAAAAUAUUAAGUAAUGUCCGAGAUAUGAUUUCGAGAUGGUAAGAGAAGCCACUGUCACGUACUUAAGAUGUAAGUUAGUCUAUAGCGUGUGGAAUUGUUUUAUAUGUUUCGAUACGGUAAAUACAAUUCGACUGCGCCUUAAAAUGAGAGGAAGGGGAUGGGAGAAGAAAAGAGCAGCAGCGUUACGUAUGCACUAUGUCACGCGGAUAUCACGGCUACGUACGCAAGUGCAAGUAGACCGUAAAGGCGUCAUAAAAUCGCCGUCGUGUGCCCUGUAUUUCAAUCCCGUGUAUAGGUGAUAUUUGAAAUGUAAUUUCUCGUUUGUUGCAUCUACCGCGCGCGCUCACCUACACAGUAUUUUUUACUGUACUCAUUUGAUCAACUGCCGCGCGUACGGCGCUUGUAACAUCUAGUACAUACAUUAUACAUAUACGAUAGUCCUAUCGAACUGUUGACGAAAGUAUCACAUAUAUGUACGUUAGAUUAUGGAGAUAUUUAUUUUUAAGUUUUUGAAUUAUAAAAUCCGUUAUAUAUAAAACUGGAAUGAAGAGAAUGUGCUAUACUUAUUAUUGAACCCUGAGAGAUUGUUUACGAUCGGAAAUUCGUGCGACUCGCGCAAGGUGCGAUGAUCGUGUAACGCGAAUGUUCAUAUCUCUACGUUGUUUUUAGAGUUGAGAUUUUAAUAAAGGAAUUUAAAGGCA
rnacentral:misc_RNA from 1 species